CAGCCGCCGCGGGAAUACGAAGGGGGCUAGCGUUGUUCGGAUUUACUGGGCGUAAAGCGCACGUAGGCGGAUCUUUAAGUCAGGGGUGAAAUCCCGAGGCUCAACCUCGGAACUGCCUUUGAUACUGGAGAUCUCGAGUCCGGGAGAGGUGAGUGGAACUGCGAGUGUAGAGGUGAAAUUCGUAGAUAUUCGCAAGAACACCAGUGGCGAAGGCGGCUCACUGGCCCGGAACUGACGCUGAGGUGCGAAAGCGUGGGGAGCAAACGGGAUUAGAUACCCCUGUAGUCCCUGUCUCUUAUAA
rnacentral:rRNA from 1 species